UGGGGAAUAUUGGACAAUGGGCGAAAGCCUGAUCCAGCCAUGCCGCGUGUGUGAAGAAGGUCUUCGGAUUGUAAAGCACUUUAAGUUGGGAGGAAGGGCAGUAAGCGAAUACCUUGCUGUUUUGACGUUACCGACAGAAUAAGCACCGGCUAACUCUGUGCCAGCAGCCGCGGUAAUACAGAGGGUGCAAGCGUUAAUCGGAAUUACUGGGCGUAAAGCGCGCGUAGGUGGUUCGUUAAGUUGAAUGUGAAAGCCCCGGGCUCAACCUGGGAACUGCAUCCAAAACUGGCGAGCUAGAGUAGGGCAGAGGGUGGUGGAAUUUCCGGUGUAGCGGUGAAAUGCGUAGAUAUAGGAAGGAACACCAGUGGCGAAGGCGACCACCUGGGCUCAUACUGACACUGAGGUGCGAAAGCGUGGGGAGCAAACAGG
rnacentral:rRNA from 1 species